rnacentral:rRNA from 1 species
GAUGAACGCUAGCUACAGGCUUAACACAUGCAAGUCGAGGGACCGGCGCACGGGUGUGUAACACGUACCCAACCCGCCUUUUACUCGGGGAUAGCCUUUCGAAAGAAAGAUUAACACCAGACGUAAAGGACGGGGAUGUGUUCCAGUAGGUUGUUGGUGAGGUAACGGCUCACCAAGCCUUCGAUGGAUAGGGGUUCUGUGAGGAAGGUCCCCCAGAUUGGAACUGAGACACGGUCCAAACUGGUACGAGAAGCAGGGGUGAUGAGUAUUGGGCAGUAAGCGUUAGCGUGAACCGGCCAGGUAGCGUGAAGGGUGAGGGGUUGUAAGGCUUUGUCUUCUGUUAUGUAAGAGUCGGUAUUAUAUGAAUAAGGAUCGGCUAACUCCGUGCCAGCAGCCGCGGUAAUAC